GACGAACGCUGGCGGCGUGCUUAACACAUGCAAGUCGAACGGAAAGGCCCUGCUUUUGUGGGGUGCUCGAGUGGCGAACGGGUGAGUAACACGUGAGUAACCUGCCCUUGACUUUGGGAUAACUUCAGGAAACUGGGGCUCAUACCGGAUAGGAGCUCCUGCUGCAUGGUGUGGGUUGGAAAGUUUCGGCGGUUGGGGAUGGACUAGCGGCUUAUCCGCUUGUUGGUGGGGUAGUGGCUUACCAAGGCUUUGACGGGUAGCCGGCCUGAGAGGGUGACCGGCCACAUUGGGACUGAGAUACGGCCCAGACUCCUACGGGAGGCAGCAGUGGGGAAUAUUGCACAAUGGGCGGAAGCCUGAUGCAGCAACGCCGCGUGCGGGAUGACGGCCUUCGGGGUGUAAACCGCUUUCGCCUGUGACGAAGCGUGAGUGACGGUAAUGGGUAAAGAAGCACCGGCUAACUACGUG
rnacentral:rRNA from 1 species